AAUAUAAAGCAGAAUAAGGGGUCAGAGGGUAGUGGAGAAAGACCUGGAGAUUCAGAGACUGAGACCCAGAUUGGUACAGAUGGGCAGAAUCUCAGGACAUACCAAAACAUGAAUGCAAAGGUGGAAACACCAAAACCAAAACAUUAAGAUCUAGAGAAAAUGAGACACACUGGGGCCCUGAAGUACUCAAAAACAGCAGAGGAUGAAAAAUAUAAAUCCUAAAGCAAGUGAAUACCAAGAAUAGCUAAGACAAUAAGACAAUGAAACAGCCACUGCUUCUGAGCAUUUCCUAGGCCAUCUUUGAAGGGGGAAUGAGGAUGUAAGAUCCUGCAUCUCAAUUAUCCAACACUGUGAUCUUGAAAGCCCUCAACUCUGGACUUCUAGAUGUCAGCAAAGUUCAGUCUCAAAGAUUCUUCCUUUGUAAUAAGCAAAAGGAAAAUGGGACAAGACUGACAGCACUCUGAGGUGGUUUUAUAUCUGCAUUCAGUGGGAGAGACAGGGUGGAGUGUGCUGAUUCCAUCUCAUCUGGAACAUUUCAUUUUGUAG